rnacentral:misc_RNA from 1 species
GGAAGUAAAAGUCGUACCAAGGUUUCCGUAGGUGAACCUGCGGAAGGAUCAUUAAAGAGAAUAUGCCCUUCGGGGUAGAUCUCCCACCCUUUGUUUAUAUUACCUUUGUUGCUUUGGCAGGCCCGUCUUCGGACCACCGGCUUCGGCUGGUCAGUGCUUGCCAGAGGACCCAAAACUCUUAUUAUUAAUGUCGUCUGAGUACUAUAUAAUAGUUAAAACUUUCAACAACGGAUCUCUUGGUUCUG